AUUGAACGCUGGCGGCAGGCCUAACACAUGCAAGUCGAGCGGAUGAAGAGAGCUUGCUCUCUGAUUUAGCGGCGGACGGGUGAGUAAUGCCUAGGAAUCUGCCUGGUAGUGGGGGAUAACGUUCCGAAAGGAACGCUAAUACCGCGUACGUCCUACGGGAGAAAGCAGGGGACCUUCGGGCCUUGCGCUAUCAGAUGAGCCUAGGUCGGAUUAGCUCGUUGGUGAGGUAAUGGCUCACCAAGGCGACGAUCCGUAACUGGUCUGAGAGGAUGAUCAGUCACACUGGAACUGAGACACGGUCCAGACUCCUACGGGAGGCAGCAGUGGGGAAUAUUGGACAAUGGGCGAAAGCCUGAUCCAGCCAUGCCGCGUGUGUGAAGAAGGUCUUCGGAUUGUAAAGCACUUUAAGUUGGGAGGAAGAGCAGUAAGUUAAUACCUUGCUGUUUUGACGUUGCCGACAGAAUAAGCACCGGCUAACUUCGUGCCAGCAGCCGCCGUAAGAC
rnacentral:rRNA from 1 species